rnacentral:lncRNA from 1 species
CCCUCUUCAAUACUCCAUUUUAUUUCUCAGUGUUUUCACCACUUCCUUCAUUUAUUACACUGAUUUUAUGUCAUAACAUCAAAAACCUGUGUAUCUGUCAUAACAUCAAAAACCUGUGUAUCUGUCAUAACAUCAAAAACCUGUGUGUCUGUCAUAACAUCAAAAGCAUGUGUGUGUAUCUGUCAUAACAUCAAAAACCUGUGUAUCUGUCAUAACAUCAAAAGCAUGUGUGUGUGUGUGUCAUAACAUCAAAAAAGUUGAGGCACAGAUCUUGUCAUAUAUUAGAAACCAUGGAAAUACAAUUAAUAUAAUGACUAUUCUAGAUUCCAGUAAUAACAUUUAUAUGUUAAAAAAACGCAGGAAUGCGCAUCACAGAUUUGACAUGUUCACAUGAACUUCAAAAGAUCAAGAUCAUAUAUAUAUAUUUUUUAAAUGUUUUUAACAACAACAAAACAACAGUAUAGUAAACAAGUAAACAAACAAAAGUGUAACAUUCCAUUUUGCAGUGAAGACUACACCGCCGCAUUGCAGAACUUUAUCGCUGUGGAGCAAGUCUUUCACUAACAUAAUAUAUGAGCCAAGCCACAAGAAAGACAAGAGGCCUGUGUCCCAAAUGCCUAUGGGCCCUCUUGUCAAAAGUAGUGGACUAAUUAGCUAUUUGGAAUUCCACCAGUUUCAGGGCAGAACAGAGUACACGGAGAAAACUCUGUGCACUAAUAGCAUAGUUAUAUUACAGUAUGGUAAUAGUAUAGUAAUAGUGUAGUACAGUAAUAGUGUAGUACAGUAGAGUAAUAGUAUAGUACAGUAACAAUAUAGUACAGUAUAGUUAUAGUACAGUAAUAGUAUAGUACAAUACAGCAAUAGUAUAGUAAUAGUACAGUACAAUAUAGUAAUAGUACAAUACAAUAUAGUAAUAGUACAGUAUAUAAUAGUAAUAGUACAAUACAGUAAUAGUACAGUACAGUAUAGUAAUAGUGUAGUACAGUAAUAGUAUAGUAGUAAUAGUACAGUACAGUAAUAGUACAGUAUAGUAAUAGUAUAAUUACAGUAUAAUAAUUGUUUACUACAGUUAUAGUAUACAAAUAUCAUAUAAUAGUAUAGUAAUAUCGUAUAAUACAGUAUAAUAGUAUAGUAAUAUCAUAUAAUAGUAUAGUACAGUAUAAUAGUAUAGUAAUAUUGUAUAAUAGUAUAGUACAGUAUAAUAGUAUAGUACAGUAUAAUAGUAUAGUCAUAUCGUAUAAUAGUAUAGUACAGUAUAGUAAUACUGUAUAAUAGUAUAGUACAAUAUUAUAGUACAGUAUAGUAAUAUUGUAUAAUAGUACAGUACAGUAAUACUGUAUAAUAGUAUAGUACAAUAGUAUAGUACAGUAUAGUAAUAUUGUAUAAUAGUAUAGUACUAUCGAAUAAUAGUAUAGUAAUAUCAUAUAAUAGUACAGUAUAAUAGUAUAGUAAUACUGUAGUAAUACUGUAUAAUAGUAUAAUAGUAUAGUAAUAUCAUAUAAUAGUACAGUAUAAUAGUAUAUUAAUAUCAUUUAAUAGUACAGUAUAAUAAUAUAGUAAUAUCAUAUAAUAGUACAGUAUAAUAGUAUAGUAAUACUGUAUAAUAGUAUAAUACAAUAAUAGUAUAGUAAU